CAUGCACUCUUUGAUUGAAACGUGUAAUUGUGUAUUUCCUGUUUUGCUAUCUAUUGUUGGUUCUGGUUGGUUAGUAUCCACACACAGAGAGAGACAGAGCACACCCAACAGAGACAGUAAACAGCUGUGAAGAUUUGUCAAGACCUUGCAAAUGAAAACAGAUAUUUUGAGAAGACUGUCUGUGUAAUCUGCCGUUAUUCACAUUGAGUUGAAAAACAACAUUUUUUUAUUAAGAAUCAUGAAAAGAGGAACAGUGAAAACAGUCUACCAAGGAGUAUAGCCGAGUAUAGCUCUCUGCCGCAGUGGCAGUUCUGAAAGUGAUGAUUUAAUUUGUUGGUUUAGGACUUGAUUGCAUGCAGUGACACCAGCAUGGUUUUGUGUGAAAAUCAACCUGGACCUUAACGUGUGUCUAGGCCAGGUUUUGCAAACCAGUCAGUUAUACGAAGCUCAGAGAGAAAGUGACAUGGGCUACAUGACUGCUAGCAUGAUGGAGUCGUGAGUGACUUAGAACAGAGUGACAGAGUUGGGGAUGGGAAAUGGAGUCUGAGAAAACCAAGCCCAUGAUGGUGCUGACUGGGUUGUAACAGCUGUAGUGGCUUUAGCUGGGCCGGGGGAGUCCCGCUGGGCCUCUGCAUUGGCCUGGCUGGCUCAGCCUGUUGCUGAGGCUGUCAUGGCAGAUGUUGCUGGCAAGGGAGCAGAAAAUGAUCAGCUAUACAGCAUAUAGUUCUCCCAAAGAAGACAGGCUGUGCUGAAGGGUUGGUGGUCUCUGGAGCACAAAGGGGAGGUGUGAUCUACAAUACACAGCUCCCAUGGAGGCUGUGCAUUUAGCAGGUACCCCUAACACCUGUGCAGUAAGUCACUCACUUCAAUAUAGGGAAACUUAACCCCUGGAGUGUUCAUUUUAGAUAAAGGGACUGUGUGUCAAUCCAAAUCCCCUAUCAUAACACAUAUGUCUUGUAUGACAGCCCCUUGAGAUAAAUGGCUCUAUAGUACACAGGAUAAACACACCUAUUUUUUACCUCCUCUUGCUGAGGAGUGCAUGACAGUGACGUAUGGACUUCAUAUGUGCACCUCUUUCUUAUCAAGAGUGGGCACACCUUUACAUGCAUUGUGUGACAUCAAGGUGUUCCCUGACCGUUGAAAGAAAAAAAGCAUUUGACAAAUGGCAUGAUGUGUCAUUGUGGUCGUUGGCAAGUGGUAUUAGUUCAUUCUACAGAAAUACACUAUAAUAUGUCUGAAGCAAGCCUAAUGUAGCCUCUGUAUGAAGAACAAUGGAGAAAAAAACUAGCCUGAGGCACAAUAGAUACAGUUAGACAGAAGGGUGCCAUCUAGUGGUAUAUUUACAAAGAAACAGGGACACUGAACAUAAGGCCUAUGACUUUAUGUCUUUCAAUUUUGAAUAAACAAACACUGAAAAUCAAAGUAGACACAUACCUUAGUAGAUUGCACACAUCCCAAACAUUUCUUCAAAACAGCAUGGUUCUCAGACACAGUCUCCAUCAACUGCAGGUACAAAAUCUCUUACCUAAACACGUCAUAGGGGCGCUUUGAUACUUUCGACCUGUCCCAUCCUAAUUAAGGUCCCAGCGGCCCAGAUUCACAGGGGCCCAGAUUCACAAAACGUUCUUAAGAAGAAAUGUCUUCUUAACUGCCAUUUUCUCCAUAACUAUAGACUUAAGAAGAAAGUUAAGCAAAGUUGCUAUUCUUAAAAAAGGUUCUUGGAAAUGUUCUUGAGCUAUUUCUCCUGAAGCAAAAAGUUAAGAAGAAAUGUAGAUUCUUGAACUAAAGUUAUUGGAAAUUCUACACUAGCUAAAAUAGUUUCCGUAUUGAUUAUUUUAGCCCAAGAAGAUGUUUUAGAACCGUAAUCUCUAGGCAACCAAUUUAGCUAGCUAGCUAGCUAGCAAUGGUAAUCAUGUUAGCAUAUUUAUUAUUGCGAUUACUGUUCUAAAACAUGUUCUUGGGUUUAAAAUAAUCAAUACUGAAACUUUCAGAUUAAGUUUGUGGGUGUAUUAAGAAGACAUUUCUCUUAAGAAGGUUUUGUGAAUCUGGGCCCAGGUUCCUACCCCGUCACAAUAAUACAAGUGUUAUUCCAGUUG